AGUUUGAGUGGUUCUUCAGGUUGCUCAUAAUUCAAGUAUUUGUACUUUUAGCACUUACAACAUUCAGAGCUUCUGAUGCAAUGCGUAUGAGUCAUGUAUCUCAAAGUCUUCUUUUCUGGGAUUCUAGCCAAACAAGGCGAUCUUUCUUUCUUCUUUUUCUUCUCUCUCUCUUUUUUUUUUUCUGUAGAAAGAGAAGUCACUAUCUGAAAGGAAAGUGCCUUAAAUUUGAAACCUUGCCCUCAGGUGAAGCCGUUCCACUACUGAAAAGUCUUGUGCUAUUAAUUGUUUAAAUAAUAGAUUAUCUGAAGGCCUGCAUGCUUCUUAGAAACAGAAUGAGAGAUUUGGGUGUCAGCACUGAUUCCAGAAGUUCCAGAGCCUAAAAUGACUCACAAAAAUACAGGAUGAGGAGAGGAGCAAGAGCAGUUCCAGUUGCCAGCUCUGGGAAUUCAAGCAGGGAAUGAGACUGGGGCUUAGUACAUCCUCACAAGUACAAGGCUGUGCAAUUCAGAUUGUCUCCUCAUUACACAUGGGGAAGAGUCACGCUGUGAUGCCAACUUCUUUCUUACAAAAUGGAUUGGAUUGCCAGAUUGACAGUGUAUUAUGAAAAAAAACCAGAAAUGCAAUCAAACCCAUCAGAUGCAGAGAACAGAUGUAAUUUCUAGAUUAACAGAGGACACGGGGCAGAGGUGUGCGAAGGAGAGCAGCACCCUCCAAGGCCAAAGUGUCACGGCGGGUUGACAUGAGCUCAGCCAGACCCAAUCUGUGCUGCCCCUGUUUCAGAGGUGGGUUCACCAGGACCAGAGAGCUGGCGUGACCCAAGGUCACAGCAGAAAGCGGAGAGUGAAAUCUCCUGGCUGUCCGCUCCGUGCUGUCCUCUCGCAUCACCUAUUGCUCAGGGCAUGCAGACCUGCUGCAGCCUGGUGGUCUCCAUUCUGCUGCAUAAAUAAGAAAAAAGU